rnacentral:rRNA from 1 species
UACGUAGGGUGCAGGCGUUAAUCGGAAUUACUGGGCGUAAAGCGUGCGCAGGCGGUCUUUUAAGUCAGAUGUGAAAUCCCCGGGCUUAACCUGGGAACUGCGUUUGAAACUGGAAGGCUAGAGUGUGGCAGAGGGGGGUGGAAUUCCACGUGUAGCAGGUGAAAUGCGUAGAGAAUGUGGAGGAACACCGAUGGCGGAAGGCAGCCCCCUG